rnacentral:ncRNA from 1 species
UCUCAGGGCAGGGUGUGAUUCCCGACCGGCGGUUAUAGUCCGCGAGCCAUAUGGCCGAUUCUGUGUAAUUCAGAAACCGACAGUAUAGUCUGGAUGGAAGAGAGA